UCUGAAUCUGCGNACGGCUCCGCAAACCAGUUGUAAACCAUAGCAGCGUUCCGCCCGGCUUCAGCAAUGGAGCCGGGCAUUAUAUGAAUAACCGUGGUAAUUCUGAGGCUAAUACAUGACACACCAACCUGCCGGGCUGGGGGCAACUCCGGCUAGGUGGGGGACGUGCAAACUCCCAUUGCUAUAACAAAACCACGAAUGAAUGCACGUUCAGACCGCCAACCAACGGCAAGGGGGCUUCGGCUUCCGAACCGGGCGGCCCCUGCAACGGGCUUCUGACCUAUCAACUAGACGGCAGC
rnacentral:rRNA from 1 species